AGUUCGCUUCAUGUAACCCCCGCAGGACCCACCUACGCCCUCAGAUUUCCCCUCUCUCUCCCCUCCUCUCUCUACACUUCAUCUCUCUCUCUCUCUCUCUCUCUCUCUCUCUCUCUCUCUUCAUUUUUUCACCUGCUUUUUGUAUCAGUAGCGCCUAGCGGAACAGCGGCGCUCGCGAAUCUCUCCCUAAAUUUUCUCUCAGUAAAAACAUCCGUGAGUCGCGGACUCGUGUCUGAACACUCGCGCGCUCCGCUCUCUCUCUAGGAAGCUUCUUUUUUUUUUUUUUUGAAAUUUGUACGGACUGCGCGAGAUUGGAGAGGCAAAGAGUUGGAAGAAGCUGGAUUUAAGUUAACAGAUCUCUGCCAAUCCCGAUUAAUUCAUCUCCCGUUGUGUCCGCAUAUAGAUGAGGGAAAUGCAUAUUUUCCAGCUCCGGAGGUACCGUUUGUAGCUGAAGAAUGGUGUGGAGAUUUUGAUGGACGUACGUUUUUGAAUCACCGCGGUUGAAUUCUGUGAGGGGAUUUUUCUGUUUAAAUGGUUUAUCGAAGACGUCAGGGUGUUUUGAGGAGCGGUUUGGAUUUUUGCAUUGGUCGAUAACAUCAAUGCAGUUUUAAAUACGCAGAUUGAGGAGCCUAAAUUUGCUGCAUGAAAUGGAGAGAUAAGAUCUGAAGGCUAGAGGUUCUGCAUUUUAUGAGUGAGAUCGUGAUUAGAAGGUGAUUAUACAUCUACUGCGUCCGUGGCAUUAAAUAAGAUAAACAGCCUAGCCGGAAGAAAUGGUUUGAAGAUUUGAUUGAUUGGAUGCAAUGUCGAAGGCAUUAGCAUCGUUUCUGUUAAUUCUGUCGUUGUUUCUUUCCAUAUCGGCUGCUGAUAAUGGGUUUCCUCGUUGUAAUUGUGAUGAGGAGGGAUUUUGGAGCACUGAAUCUAUCAUGGAGUGCCAAAGAGUUAGUGAUUUUUUGAUUGCAGUAGCCUACUUCUCCAUCCCUAUUGAGCUGCUUUACUUUGUUAGCUGUUCCAAUAUACCAUUUAAAUGGGUUCUUUUUCAGUUCAUUUCGUUCAUUGUCCUUUGUGGUAUGACUCAUUUGCUAAAUGGCUGGACCUAUGGACCUCAUACGUUUCAGCUGAUGCUUGCUCUCACAAUUUUCAAGUUCCUCACAGCAUUAGUUUCUUUUGCCACUGCUAUAACCCUUAUUACGCUCAUCCCUUUGCUGCUCAAAGUCAAGGUGAGAGAGAUUAUGCUGAGGAAGAAGACUUGGGAUCUUGAUCGAGAGGUUGGAAUUAUAAAGAAGCAGGAAGAAGCUGGAUGGCAUGUUCGGAUGCUGACACAAGAGAUUCGGAAGUCACUGGAUAGGCAUACUAUACUAGAUACUACGUUGGUUGAGCUAUCAAAAGCACUAGAUUUGCAGAACUGUGCCAUUUGGAUGCCAAAUACGGGUAAAACGGAAAUGAUCUUAACUCAUGAAUUGAAAGGAAGGAAUUUCGCUAAUAAUUUCAUCUCACCUAUCCCUACCAGUGACCCUGAUGUUAGAGAGGUUAAGGGAAGCGACGGAGUGAAGAUACUUGACCCCGAGUCGGCCCUUGCUUUGGCAAGCAGUGGAGGACCUGGUGAGCCAGGAGCUGUGGCUGCAAUCAGGAUGCCAAUGCUGAGAGUUUCCAAUUUCAAAGGUGGUACGCCUGAGAUGGUUCCGGCCUGCUAUGCUAUCCUUGUUUUGGUACUCCCAGGUGGACCAGAUAGAUCUUGGAGCAAUGAGGAACUUGAGAUUGUAGAGGUGGUGGCUGACCAAGUUGCUGUUGCUCUUUCCCAUGCUUCAGUGCUCGAAGAGUCUCAACUUAUGAGAGAAAAGUUAGUGGAACAAAAUCGAGCACUACAACAAGCAAGACAAGAUGCACUAAUGGCAAGUCAAGCUCGGAAUGCAUUUCAGAUGGUCAUGAGUAAUGGGUUAAGAAGACCCAUGCACUCAAUUCUUGGCCUGCUAUCUGUUUUGCAGCAUGACAAGUUAAAUGAUGAGCAAAGGCUGCUUGUUGAUACAAUGGUAAAGACUAGUAAUGUUCUUUCAACAUUAAUAACAGACGUAAUGGAUACUUCAUCCAAAGAUAGCGGAAGGUUCCUUCUAGAGAUGAAACACUUUCAAUUGCAUUCUUUGAUAAAGGAAGCUGCUUGCCUUUCCAAGUGCCUUUCUUCAUAUAGGGGUUAUGAUUUUUCGACCGAGGUUGAGAGGACACUCCCAAAUUACGUCAUAGGUGAUGAGAGAAGAGUUUUUCAGGUAGUUUUGCAUAUGGUUAGGAAUUUGCUGAGUGGAAGCAAAGGAGGUGGGCGUUUGACUCUACGAGUAUAUUCAGCCAGUGGAAGUCAAGGAUGGAAUCAGCAAAAAUGGGGUCAGUGGAGAUCAAACUUGUCUGAAGGAUACAUUUAUACCCGGCUUGAUGUUGGGAUCUGCCAUACUGGAUCUCAAUCAGAUGAUAUAAUACCCUUUAAUCCCUAUGAUGGGCAUAGAUACCAUGGUUCAGUUGGGGAAAGUUUGAGCUUUAGUGCAUGCAAAAAAAUAGUUCAGUUAAUGCAAGGAGACAUCUGGAUGGUACCAAAUCCAGAGGGCUUUGACCAAAGCAUGGCUCUUGUUUUGCGAUUUCAAGUCCGGUCAUCCAUUAGUGCAGGCAUUUCAGAAUAUGGAGAAACUUCUGAUCGUGUUCAUUCGAAUUCACUUUUCAGAGGCCUGAAAGUUAUCUUAGCUGAUGCAGAUGAUGUAAAUAGAGCUGUAACUAGGAAGUUGCUUGAAAAGCUUGGGUGCGUUGUGUCUGCUGUUUCAUCUGGAUAUGAAUGUCUCAGUGCUAUUGGUCCUGCUGUUUCUUCCUGUCAAAUUGUUCUUCUGGAUCUUCACUUGCCUGAUUUAGAUGGCUUUGAAGUCACUAUGAGAAUCCGGAAGUUUCGAAGCCGCAGUUGGCCAUUGAUAAUUGCCUUGACCUCAAACGAUGACAGGGAAACGAGGGAUAGAUGUUUGCAGAUUGGAAUGAAUGGCGUUAUUCAAAAACCAGGAACAUUUCAAGAGAUCUCUGAGGAGCUUAAGCGGAGCCUGCUGCAGGCCAACAGGAUCUUGCCUUGAUGGCGGUAGCGCAUCCCGUCGAGCAACAUGCAUGUCUCUUAUCAGGCAGCAAUAUGGCUUUUUUAGAAUCAAAAAAGAGAAAUGUAUGCUGUAAGUAGCUCCUGGGAUGAGUUGUCCAAGUCCAACAUAUAGAUGUGACAUACACAACAUUGAUAGUCAAAGUGGUUUCGUUCUUGGGAGACAGCAUCAAGUUGUUGUGUGGCCAAAUAAAGCCUGAGAUUUGGUGGAGACAUGCAGUCGAUGUGCGAAAGAAAGAUGAGAUGCUGACACUAGUUUUCUUGAAUAGGCAGCAGAAGUAGAAAUGUUGUAUUUUGUGAAGACAGAUGCAGAAGGCACACUUAGCUGGGAAUGAGUUGAAAUCUUGUUGGUCUGCGUUUUCCAGGUAUGAGUUUAUAUAUCUUGACGUUUAUGGAUAAAGAAAAGUAGGAAUGUGUUUUUCAGGUGUUGCUUUUAUUUGAUAACCUUUUUACAAGUAUAAAAUCAUGCAUGAAUUUGGGGGGGACGUGUUUGGGUCACUGUUUCUUCUUUCAUUUUCAUUGCUACUGGCGGCCCCGGUAGCAGAGUAGGUGUGCUUUCUGUAGUCCGACUCCAAUAUUGGAAACUUGAGCUCUCCACCUUAUACAAUCCCUGUAAAUUUUUAAAUUUGUAGUAAUAGUUUUGACUCAGAAUAAAUAAAUUAUUUUAUUUAUAUGGACA